AAUGGAUUCAAUGUAUCUGAGGGCACGAAGACUAAGGCUUUGGUCCGAUUCGUGAAUUAAAUUUCUGAAAAAUGGCGAAGUCCGGUUGCUGAUGAUAAGCCAGAAAUCAAAUGCAAUUAUUAAACAUAUGUUCAUUGCAUUAGUUUUUACGGAUAAUAAAAAGAACAGAUUAAGACGAACAUGAAACUAUCUCAAAUGUUUUUUCGCUAUCGCAGUUCUGCUUCUGCAAGCUUCUGAGGAAAAGGAAACCUUUCGAAGCGACAACAUCAUGCUCUAGAAAUUGGGGCCAGGCUACGUGUUUCCUUCGACUUCUUGCCAACAAUGCAUUUAUUACUUGAUUUAUAUAAGCUUUAUAACAUUAACACAAUGUAGCA